UGGGGAAUAUUGCACAAUGGAGGGAACUCUGAUGCAGCGACGCCGCGUGAACGAAGAAGGCUUUCGAGUCGUAAAGUUCUUUUAUAUGGGAAGAUAAUGACGGUACCAUAAGAAAAAGCCCCGGCUAACUACGUGCCAGCAGCCGCGGUAAUACGUAGGGGGCUAGCGUUGUCCGGAAUCACUGGGCGUAAAGGGUUCGCAGGCGGACAUGCAAGUCAGGUGUAAAAGGCAGUAGCUUAACUACUGUAAGCAUUUGAAACUGAAUAUCUUGAGAAGAUUCGAGGUAGGUGGAAUUAUUUGUGUAGCGGUGAAAUGCGUAGAUAUUAAAGAGAAUACCGGUGGCGAAGGCGACUUACUGGGCUCAUUCUGACGCUGAGGAACGAAAGCGUGGGUAGCAAGCAGG
rnacentral:rRNA from 1 species